GGUCAAGUUAUUAAGGGUGCAGGGCGGAUGCCUUGGCACUAGGAGCCGAUGAAGGACGUGAUAAGCUGCGAUAAGCUUCGGGGAGUUGCACGUAAACUUUGAUCCGAAGAUUUCCGAAUGAGGAAACUCACUUAGAGUAAUGUCUAAGUAUCAUUAAGUGAAUACAUAGCUUAAUGAGGGGAACUCAGGGAACUGAAACAUCUAAGUACCUGAAGGAAGAGAAAGAAAUUCGAUUCCGUAAGUAGCGGCGAGCGAACGCGGAUUAGCCCAAACCAAUAAAGUUUUCUUUAUUGGGGUUGCGGACAUAUCAUAACGAAGAGGUAUCGUAAUUGAAGAGGUUUGGAAAGACCCACCACAGAAGGUAAUAGUCCUGUAUGUUAAACGAGAAGACUUUAGAUAUGAUCCAGAGUACCACGGGACACGUGAAACCCUGUGGGAAGCAGGAGGGACCACCCUCCAAGGCUAAAUACUACCUAGUGACCGAUAGCGUAUAGUACCGUGAGGGAAAGGUGAAAAGAACCCCGGGAGGGGAGUGAAAUAGAACCUGAAACCCUGCACUUACAAGCUGUGGAAGCACAUUUCUUGUGUGACCGCGUACUUUUUGUAGAACGGGCCAACGAGUUACGUUAAGUAGCAAGGUUAAGCACUUAAGGUGCGGAGCCGUAGCGAAAGCGAGUUUUAACUGAGCGUUCAGUUACUUGACGUAGACCCGAAACCGGGCGACCUACCCAUGAGCAGGAUGAAGCGAAAGUAAAAUUUCGUGGAGGUCCGAACCCACGAGCGUUGAAAAGCUCGGGGAUGACUUGUGGGUAGCGGUGAAAUUCCAAUCGAGCCCGGAGAUAGCUGGUUCUCCCCGAAAUAGCUUUAGGGCUAGCCUCAAGGUGAGAGAUACGGAGGUAGAGCACUGAAUGUCCUAGGGGGUAUUGCACCUACCGAAGACUAUCAAACUCCGAAUGCCGUCAUCUUAUACUUGGGAGUCAGACUGUGGGUGAUAAGAUUCAUAGUCGAAAGGGCAACAGCCCAGAUCGUCAGCUAAGGUCCCUAAAUGUAAGUUAAGUGGUAAAGGAUGUGGGAUUGCACAGACAACCAGGAUGUUGGCUUAGAAGCAGCCACUCAUUCAAAGAGUGCGUAAUAGCUCACUGGUCGAGUGAUCCUGCGCCGAAGAUUUCCGGGGCUAAAACUUACUACCGAAGCUACGGCAUCAGUAAUGAUGGGUAGGGGAGCUUCCCAUACGGGUUGAAGCAUGACCGUAAGGACAUGUGGACAGUAUGGGAGUGAGAAUGUUGGCAUGAGUAGCGAGAUGUGGGUGAGAAUCCCACAGGCCGUAAACCCAAGGUUUCCAGGGGAAGGUUCGUCCGCCCUGGGUUAGUCGGGACCUAAGCUGAGGCCGAAAGGCGUAGGUGAUGGACAACAGGUUGAUAUUCCUGUACUACCGAUAACCGUUUGAGAGAAGGGAUGACACAGUAGGAUAAGCUAAGCACACUGUUGGUUAUGUGUGCCCAAGCAUUGAGGCAGUCAAAGUAGGCAAAUCCGCUUUGAUAAUGCUGGGAUGUGAUGGGGAGCGAAAUUUAGUAGCGAAGUAGCUGAUUUCACACUGUCAAGAAAAGUCUCUAUCGAGGUUAAAGGUACCCGUACCGCAAACCGACACAGGUGGGUGAGGAGAGUAUCCUAAGGCCAGCGAGAGAACUGUUGUUAAGGAACUCGGCAAAAUGACCCCGUAACUUAGGGAUAAGGGGUGCCACCAUCAGGUGGCCGCAGAGAAUAGGCCCAAGCGACUGUUUACCAAAAAAGCCCCAGUAAACGGCGGCCGUAACUAUAACGGUCCUAAGGUAGCGAAAUUCCUUGUCGGGUAAGUUCCGACCCGCACGAAAGGCGUAACGAUUUGGGCACUGUCUCAACAACAGACUCGGUGAAAUUGUAAUUCCGGUGAAGAUGCCGGAUACCUGCGACAGGACGGAAAGACCCCAUGGAGCUUUACUGUAGCUUGACAUUGGGUCUUGGUACUACAUGUACAGGAUAGGUGGGAGGCUUUGAAACCAGGACGCCAGUUUUGGCGGAGCCAUCCUUGGGAUACCACCCUUGUAGUACUGGGACUCUAACCAUAGGCCAUGAAUCUGGUCUUGGGACACUGUCAGGUGGGCAGUUUGACUGGGGCGGUCGCCUCCCAAAAGGUAACGGAGGCGCUCAAAGGUUCUCUCAGUACGGUCGGAAAUCGUACGUAGAGUGUAAAGGCAAAAGAGAGCUUGAUUGCAAGACAUACAGGUCGAGCAAGGAUGAAAAUCGGACUUAGUGAUCCGGUGGUUCUGCGUGGAAGGGCCAUCGCUCAACGGAUAAAAGCUACCCUGGGGAUAACAGGCUUAUCUCCCCCAAGAGUCCACAUCGACGGGGAGGUUUGGCACCUCGAUGU
rnacentral:rRNA from 1 species